CCCCUAGAUGUUCUGGGCCGCACGCGCGCUACACUGAACAGUUCAACAAGUCUUAACCUUGGCCGAUAGGUCUGGGUAAUCUUUGAACGCUGUUCGUGAUUGGGAUAGACCUUUGCAAUUAUGGGUCUUCAACGAGGAAUUCCUAGUAAACGCAAGUCAUCAGCUUGCAUUGAUUACGUCCCUGCCCUUUGUACACACCGCCCGUCGCACCUACCGAUUGAAUGGUCCGGUGAAGCCUCCGGAUUGCGCGCGCCUCCGGGCCGCACGAGAAGUUGGCUAAACCUUACCAUUUAGAGGAAGGUGAAGUCGUAACA
rnacentral:rRNA from 1 species